ACAAUAUACUUUUGCUGUCAAAAGAAUAUGUGCAAAAGUUAGAAGUGAAUCAUUUAGUAGUUUGUUUUGUGAUUUGAAACAAUGAGUUUGAUUUGUAUCCAUACUUAGUGUUGUAUGUACAUGGAUUUUGCAGGAAGAAUUGUUCAAUAUACAAGGAUUACAUACGGCAGGGAUGCUGCCAUUGUGUUAAAUAAUUUACUUGUGGCAAAAUUGUCAGGAAUCAGGACUAAUAAGUUAUAAUAAUUUUACUUCCUGGAUAUUUCAAUAGCAUGGAUGUUUUGACAGAUUCCUAAAAAUGUUCAUAUUUACAAAAGUUUAAUGCAUUAAAUCUGUAUAGGCCUAAUUAGUCCAGGUUUUGUCAAAACUAUUUGAUGUGUGGCUUUCAAACUUUGAACUCUUGUUCAUCGUUAUGAUCUCCAUCUGCAGUCGAAGAAGUACGUUUGCCUAAAAGAAGAAAUUAAUAGCGAGUAAAUGAUUAGCCAGACAAGACUGGAAAUGCCAAUUGAUUAUCUAUCAUUUAAAGACAAAUCGCUGUGGUUGAGAAUACUUCAUUCUGAAUUUACCAUUUCUUGAACUUCUUUUAUAUUUAUGGCACAAAUUGAACAUUUUAGAAAUUUCUGACCAUACUGUCUUUUACAAUUUUCUUCAAAACUGCUUUAAAUGAU